rnacentral:tRNA from 1 species
GCGUUGUUGGUGUAGGGGUUAGCAUUGAAGCCUUCCAUUAAUGGUAGCUUUAGUCGGGGGUUCGAGUCCCUCACAACGCA